AUACGGAGGAUGCGAGCGUUAUCCGGAUCUAUUGGGUUUAAAGGGUGCGUAGGCUGUGCGUUAAGUCAGGGGUGAAAUGCCGUCGCUCAACGACGGAGCUGCCCUUGAUACUGGCGUGCUGGAGUACGGAUGCCGUUGGAGGAAUGAGUGGUGUAGCGGUGAAAUGCUUAGAUAUCACUCAGAACACCGAUUGCGAAGGCAUCUUACGAAUCCGUGACUGACGCUGAGGCACGAAAGCGUGGGGAUAGAACAGGAUUAGAUACCCUGGUAGUCCACGCCGUAAACGAUGAUGACUAACCGUCGGCGAUAGACAGCCGGUGGCCAAGCGAAAGCGAUAAGUCAUCCACCUGGGGAGUACGUCGGCAACGAUGAAACUCAAAUGAAUUGACGGGG
rnacentral:rRNA from 1 species